GGUGCCUGGAUGGUCCUGCAUGCUUUGCUUAUACAUUACAACAUUGUAUUCCCUUUUCCUUGGCUUUGCUUCCAGAAAUCCCUGAACAAACCUGUAAUUUUUUUUGUUUGUUUCUCACUGUCUACCAUUUUUUCUUCUCUAAAACAAUCUCGCUCAUGUCUUGGAGUGGUUACUACCCUGACAGAUAGAAUUCUUGACUCUUCCAUUUGAAUCUGAUCUUGAACAGGCACACUAGCAGGGCACUGCCCUUCAGCUGAGUGCUCAGCGGGUUAAUAUGAAGGCCAUGAGACCUCUGAAGUUGCUAGAAAUCAGCACAGAGUGUGGCCUCACACGUACUUAGCCUGCCUGCCUUCAAAACGCACCUUGCAGCCUGGCUGAGUGAGGAUCGAGUUCCCCUUGGGAAGGAAUGUCGCUUUGGGAGACUUGGGACACACAGUCCCCUGCUCUAUAGCUGCCGUGCAGGACUUCAGUGGGAGUUUUUCAAGCUAGAGCUGAUGUGUCCCACCUGCUCCGGAGGAGUUGUUGUCUGGGGUGCUUGAGCUGUGCUUUGCAGAGGAGGUGAGCUCAGGUAGUCAGUUGCAGGUACAGCUGUGAGGCAGAACUACAUGUGGAGCCACAGAGUCCAUGAUGGCAUGUGAAUGUGGACACAGCACAAAGCUGCCAGGAAGCCCUCCAGAAAAAAAAAACAAAAAACAACCUGGCCAAAUCUGUGUGUCUGCAUUGGGUUUUUUGGGGUUUGUUUUAUUUUGGUUGUGGUUGUUGGGGGUUUUCGGCUUUGUUUUUUUCAUAAAAAAGAAAAUCACACACAUAUAAAUGAGAAACAAAGACGAAGUUUUUGCUUAGCUCUAGAGCUAAACAAGCUGACAGAGGAAUUUCAUACCCUCUAAACAGUCUGCAUUGCUUCUGCUAGCAUUAACAUAUGUGAUGCUCCUGCUAACUCUGACUUGACUCUGGUGUUACCCAGUAUGUUGUUCUGUACUGCAGCACUGACUGCUCACCACACGGCCUAUGCAGAGUUAACAGCUGAGUGUGACUUUCUGUGAACAUAAAAUGUAUAAUGGCCAAAUUUUGCCAGUUGUUAAUCUAA